UCAACGUUACUUUGAAGGUUUAUGUGUGCGACGUUAAUCGCCGGGAACUAUCAUAAGUAAUCCAUUAAGUUUAAUGAUGUUAAGAAAUAUAUAGAAGAAGCCUUGUGGUGCUUACUUAGCCUAUAUUUGGAGACAUUUGCUUUUAUCAGCUGUUUGGACGGCACCCAUCCACUGCAAAGGGACCCACUGGUAAGCAAGUAAUAUAAUGGAAAUUUUCUCCAAAUAUGUUCCAAUGAAGAAACAAACUCUUCUACAUGCUGGAUGACCUGAGGGUGAAAGAUUUUCCGGACAUUUUUCUUUUGUUGUUGUUUUUGUUGUUAUUGUUGUUCCUUUAAUGUCUGUGUAAGUAGCUCGCUUAGCUACAUGGAUACAGAACAUUCGCGUAACUUGGUUAUCCUUAGACUUUGGAUUGUGGUAUAAUAGUGAAAUUAGUUUAUUUGAUGUUUUUAUGAUAUUUUAUGAUUAUAAGCUGUAUUGCAUGUUGUAUUGUUUUCAUAUUUAAAAAAAAUUAUGAUCUUAACAGAUGCUGAGAAAAAUAACUUAAGUGGAUGUAUGUUUUUUUUUUAUUCAUAAACCACAAGCAUAUAAACAACAAUUCAAUAAAAAUGACAUUGAUAAUAAAAUGACAACAUGUAAGGCAACCCAAGUAAUAAGGAACACAAGGAAUAUUUUUGAGCCUUAUCAAACACAGGCCUUAAUGACUGAUAAAAAUGGAUGAAAACCAUGUAUGUGCUAAUAAAUUUACACAAUAUCUAACCCAAUUCACCACUGACAUGUAGAAGGAAUACAGCGUUUUCAAUAAUCUGUGCUUGAAAUGUGGGAUGUAAAGAUUUGGUGACAACACUGAAACUGUCAAGUGAUAAUCCUGCCACAAGCACAAACA